rnacentral:lncRNA from 1 species
AACAAAAACAAAAAUAAAGGGAUUAGCAAAGUUGCUAAUCCCCGGCAACGGCGCCAAAAUUUGAUGCGUAAAAUAAGUUAACACACAAAUUAACCCUCUUUUUGACAAUUGUAGUAUAGAUGUAAGUAGGGUAUCGUUCUAGGCCGGGGAUUAGGAGGGAUUGCUAAUCUAUUCUAAAUUAAUUUAAAAAUAUUAAACAAGACUCAAGGACACAAACUAGGCUAAAAACUCUAAUAACUCGAAACACACUUAGAAUGACUCAAAAUAAUGAAAACAAUCAAAUUAGACACUAGGAACUGAAAUGGACGGAAAUUGAAUUAAAAGACUAACAACAAUGAAAGCUAACUAAAUAAUAUAAUUUAAU